AGUUGUGGUGGUUUUCUUUCUGGCGCAUUUGUGAAGUUUUCAGAUGGGCCUAACUCUACCACAUAUACGACGUCGGAGCUGGGAAGGGCUGGGUGGCAAACAGGACUCCCUGAAGCCUUUCCUGUAGCAGAGCUCGGCUCCCACAGGU
rnacentral:snoRNA from 12 species